AUCCAGCUGACGAGUCACAAAUAGGACGAAACGCGCUUUGUUCUGAAU
rnacentral:hammerhead_ribozyme from 1 species